GACUCAACACGGGGAAACUCACCAGGUCCAGACACGAUGAGGAUUGACAGAUUGAGAGCUCUUUCUUGAUUUCGUGGGUGGUGGUGCAUGGCCGUUCUUAGUUGGUGGAGUGAUUUGUCUGCUUAAUUGCGAUAACGAACGAGACCUUAACCUGCUAAAUAGCCCGUAUUGCUUUGGCAGUACGCUGGCUUCUUAGAGGGACUAUCGGCUCAAGCCGAUGGAAGUUUGAGGCAAUAACAGGUCUGUGAUGCCCUUAGAUGUUCUGGGCCGCACGCGCGCUACACUGACGGAGCCAACGAGUUCUGGCGCAAGCCGUUCCUUGGCCGAAAGGUCUAGGUAAUCUUGUUAAACUCCGUCGUGCUGGGGAUAGUCUUUUGUAACAUCUGACUUGAACGAGGAAUUCCUAGUAAGCGCGGUUCAUCAGAUCGCGUUGAUUACGUCCCUGCCCUUUGUACACACCGCCCGUCGCUACUACCGAUUGAAUGGCUUAGUGAGACCCUCGGAUUGGCGCAUAGCUGCCGGCAACGGCUGGUUAAGUGCCGGGAAGUUGGUCAAACUUGGUCAUUUAGAGGAAGUAAAAGUCGUAACAAGGUUU
rnacentral:rRNA from 1 species